rnacentral:misc_RNA from 1 species
AUUGACGAUUUGUUUGAAGCUGCUAAGGACCGGCAUUCUGUGGAAGAUAUAACUAAUUUUUGUCUAGGGUUGUACAAAUAGCGAUUUGACUUAGAACCGGACCAAUUAAACUGAAAACUGAAAUCCUUAAAAACAAAAAUAAAUCGAAAUUGAUGAUAUAGAACUAACCGAAUCGAAAUAAUCGGUUUGAUUCAAUUCGAUUUAAAGUAAACCGAAUUUUCCAAAACUCUCCCAAAUCACAAAUCCUCAGCAAACUCAUCAAUCCAUUAAUCCCCCCAAAUUGCAAAUUCUUAAAAACCAAUCAAAAUGCAGAAACCCAGUGCAAUAAACAAUUCCGUUCGGUCAAUGGAGGGCACAUAAUUUAUUCUUGAUAUUUUUUUGGUAUAAUUAAU